rnacentral:rRNA from 1 species
GACGAACGCUGGCGGCGUGCUUAACACAUGCAAGUCGAACGGAAAGGCCCUGCUUUUGUGGGGUGCUCGAGUGGCGAACGGGUGAGUAACACGUGAGUAACCUGCCCUUGACUUUGGGAUAACUUCAGGAAACUGGGGCUAAUACCGGAUAGGAGCUCCUGCUGCAUGGUGGGGGUUGGAAAGUUUCGGCGGUUGGGGAUGGACUCGCGGCUUAUCAGCUUGUUGGUGGGGUAGUGGCUUACCAAGGCUUUGACGGGUAGCCGGCCUGAGAGGGUGACCGGCCACAUUGGGACUGAGAUACGGCCCAGACUCCUACGGGAGGCAGCAGUGGGGAAUAUUGCACAAUGGGCGGAAGCCUGAUGCAGCAACGCCGCGUGCGGGAUGACGGCCUUCGGGUUGUAAACCGCUUUCGCCUGUGACGAAGCGUGAGUGACGGUAAUGGGUAAAGAAGCACCGGCUAACUACGUGCCAGCAGCCGCGGUGAUACGUAGGGUGCGAGCGUUGUCCGGAUUUAUUGGGCGUAAAGGGCUCGUAGGUGGUUGAUCGCGUCGGAAGUGUAAUCUUGGGGCUUAACCCUGAGCGUGCUUUCGAUACGGGUUGACUUGAGGAAGGUAGGGGAGAAUGGAAUUCCUGGUGGAGCGGUGGAAUGCGCAGAUAUCAGGAGGAACACCAGUGGCGAAGGCGGUUCUCUGGGCCUUUCCUGACGCUGAGGAGCGAAAGCGUGGGGAGCGAACAGGCUUAGAUACCCUGGUAGUCCACGCUGUAAACGGUGGGUACUAGGUGUGGGGUCCAUUCCACGGGUUCCGUGCCGUAGCUAACGCUUUAAGUACCCCGCCUGGGGAGUACGGCCGCAAGGCUAAAACUCAAAGGAAUUGACGGGGCCCCGCACAAGCGGCGGAGCAUGCGGAUUAAUUCGAUGCAACGCGUAGAACCUUACCUGGGUUUGACAUGGGUCGGGAGUGCUCAGAGAUGGGUGUGCCUCUUUUGGGGUCGGUUCACAGGUGGUGCAUGGCUGUCGUCAGCUCGUGUCGUGAGAUGUUGGGUUAAGUCCCGCAACGAGCGCAACCCUUGUUCACUGUUGCCAGCACGUUAUGGUGGGGACUCAGUGGAGACCGCCGGGGUCAACUCGGAGGAAGGUGGGGAUGACGUCAAGUCAUCAUGCCCCUUAUGUCCAGGGCUUCACGCAUGCUACAAUGGCUGGUACAGAGAGUGGCGAGCCUGUGAGGGUGAGCGAAUCUCGGAAAGCCGGUCUCAGUUCGGAUUGGGGUCUGCAACUCGACCUCAUGAAGUCGGAGUCGCUAGUAAUCGCAGAUCAGCAACGCUGCGGUGAAUACGUUCCCGGGUCU